UACGUAGGGGGCAAGCGUUGUCCGGAUUUAUUGGGAGUAAAGCGCUCGCAGGUGGUUCGUCGCGUCGUGCGUGAAAGACCCCGGCUCAACUGGGGGGUGUCGUGCGAUACGGGCGGACUGGAGGCCAGUAGGGGGAUGCGGAAUUCCGGGUGUAGUGGUGGAAUGCGUAGAGAUCCGGAGGAACACCAGCGGCGAAGGCGGCAUCCUGGACUGGUCCUGACACUCAGGAGCGAAAGCGUGGGGAGCGAUCCGG
rnacentral:rRNA from 1 species